UGAGGAAUAUUGGGCAAUGGAGGCAACUCUGACCCAGCCAUGCCGCGUGCAGGAAGACGGUCCUAUGGAUUGUAAACUGCUUUUGUACGGGAAGAAACAUCUCUUCGUGAAGAGACUUGACGGUACCGUAAGAAUAAGGAUCGGCUAACUCCGUGCCAGCAGCCGCGGUAAUACGGAGGAUCCAAGCGUUAUCCGGAAUCAUUGGGUUUAAAGGGUCCGUAGGCGGCCUUAUAAGUCAGUGGUGAAAUCCAGUCGCUUAACGAUUGAACUGCCAUUGAUACUGUAAGGCUUGAAUUAGAGUGAAGUAACUAGAAUAUGUAGUGUAGCGGUGAAAUGCUUAGAUAUUACAUGGAAUACCAAUUGCGAAGGCAGGUUACUAAUUCUACAUUGACGCUGAUGGACGAAAGCGUGGGGAGCGAACAGG
rnacentral:rRNA from 1 species